UACGAAGGGGGCUAGCGUUGCUCGGAAUCACUGGGCGUAAAGCGCACGUAGGCGGAUUGUUAAGUCAGGGGUGAAAUCCUGGAGCUCAACUCCAGAACUGCCUUGAUACUGGCGAUCUCGAGUCCGGGAGAGGUGAGUGGAACUGCGAGUGUAGAGGUGAAAUUCGUAGAUAUUCGCAAGAACACCAGUGGCGAAGGCGGCUCACUGGCCCGGUACUGACGCUGAGGUGCGAAAGCGUGGGAAGCA
rnacentral:rRNA from 1 species